rnacentral:lncRNA from 1 species
AUGCUGGCCUCCCCCUGCUUUCCGAGCGGGAUGAUCUGGUGUCCGUUGUUGCUGCCGGGGAGAGCUCGGGAAGGCAGCACGGCAGGAGUUACUCAGCUGCGGCUCCUCGCAGCCCUGCGUGCGGCGCUUCGCAGCCAUCUUAGCUGUGGGCAGAAAGCCUGUCAGGACUCGCACCACGCGUCAGCUGAUCAGAUUUCGGAACCAGCAAGUCUCCUACAUACAGAAAUUAUUGCAGAGAUCAGAGACAUUUAGCCCCGGAGUUGAGGCCCGUUUUGUAACUGCUCCCCUUUCCCAAAUAUUUUCAAACAGUUCAAUAACGACAAUGAUUUCAAUGAAUAUGUAACAUUGGCUUUUAAAUAGAAACAUCUUACUGUACUUAUAAUGUUCUGUGUAAUUAUGAAAGCAGACAAAGGUGAGCAUUGACUGUUUAAGCUGCAUUCACUUCUAGUGUUUCUCCACAUUUGUUUAUCAGAACUUCACUGAAAAGUGUUUUGAUUAUUUAUGUUUACUUGGAAAAAAUUACAUAAAUGAUUUUAAUAGAGUUUCUGCUCUAUGCAAAUAGUAGGUUGCUCCUAAAUUCUCUUCUGAUGUAUGAAUUUGCUUCAGAAGUGGAUUCAGAAUGGAUUCAGAAAUGUUACCUUUGACUUUUGUGGCUUAUACGUUGUGUUAUAUCAUCAGGACUUUCUUCAAAGCCUCUGAAGCCAAAUGAAGAUGUACUGUUGAUUUCAAUAGUGUCUGAAUUGCUCCCCAAGCAACUGAGUAUUUCUUCUUAAAAGAAGUAUCCUGAUGACUUUGAGGAGAAUGUUUCUGAGCAGAACUGUGAAUAGGGUUCUUUGACACCAGAAUCACAAGACCUGUGCUUUCUAGCACCAAAUAACCUCAUUUCUGAACAAACAUUGUGGCCAGAGCUGAUUACUGAUUUGGCCGUUUUUGAAAAGAGAGCGAUGCUAACUUUGAUGUCCUAAUUACAAGCUGGCUAUACUAAUGCCUAGUUGUAUGCAUUUAAAAGUUAGUGUACAGAGGCUAGUGUAUUUCUGUGGCCAGUAGAGAAAAAGGAAGACUUGCACAGAGAUCUAUCCAGAGCAAGAACCCAAGUGAAUCAAAUUCAAAAAAUAAACCCCGUGCCUCUCCAUUGAGUGGAGAGGGU